rnacentral:rRNA from 1 species
UACGUAGGGUGCAAGCGUUGUCCGGAAUUAUUGGGCGUAAAGAGCUCGUAGGCGGUUUGUCGCGUCUGCUGUGAAAUCUUAGGGCUUAACCCUGAGCUUGCAGUGGGUACGGGCAGACUAGAGUGCGGUAGGGGAGACUGGAAUUCCUGGUGUAGCGGUGAAAUGCGCAGAUAUCAGGAGGAACACCGGUGGCGAAGGCGGGUCUCUGGGCCGUAACUGACGCU